rnacentral:misc_RNA from 1 species
GAUGAAGAACGCAGCGAAAUGCGAUACGUAAUGUGAAUUGCAGAAUUCAGUGAAUCAUCGAAUCUUUGAACCCAUAUUGCGCUCUCUGGUAUUCCGGAGAGCAUGCUUGUUUGAGUAUCAGUAAACACCUCAACUUCCAUAUCUUUUUUGAAAUGGGAGUUGGACUUGAGUGAUCCCAACGCUUUUCCUCACCGAAAAGUGGCGGGUUACUUGAAAUGCAGGUGCAGCUGGACUUUUCUCUGAGCUAUAAGCAUAUCUAUUUAGUCUGCCUAAAAAACAGAUUAUUACCUUUGCUGCAGCUAACAUAAAGGAGAUUAGUUCUUGUGCUGACUGAUGCAGGAUUCACAAAGACGGCUUCGGCCGACUUUGUAAACUCGAUCUCAAAUCAAGUAAGACUACCCGCUGAACUUAAGCAUAUCAAUAAGCGGAGGA